UUGAUAAAAUCUUUCACAAACAACGUUUAAAUAAAAACAGCCCCCUAUACAAAGUAAUGGCAUAUUACAGUUGCUAGUAUUACUGAACAUAAGAGUUAAUAUAGAAUACAUUAACACAAACUAAGAUUGAUAUGAAAAGACUGAAAAAACUCUACAAGUCUUUAAAAACAUUUCAACCAAAAGGACACAUUUGCAAGCUAACCGAGAAGAACCACUCCUCUGCUCUCGGUGCAUCGCCACUUUUCACCCUUAAGAAAUACCUCCUUCUCCUCCUCCACCACCACUUCCCCAACUACAUCCUCAUCACUCUCCUCACCUUCAACUCCAUGGUCUAUCUCCACCAUAUCGCCUCUUCAUCUUGUGCACUCCAUUAUAUAAUUGGAUAGUGCCACACUCCUACCAUCUCCCAAAUUUUCAUGUCCUGUAAAUAUGUAAGAAAACAUUUACAAAAGAUUGAAUGUACAUUCACUUGUAAAAUUGUCACCCUAAAAGAUUACCCAUCCAAGUUUCCAGUUCAGAAAUGUGAAUGCCACAUUAAAUAUAUAGGUGCUAACAACCCACAAAAGAAUGAAGACAAGAAGAAGCAGUCCAUUUAGUUUGUGCAAAUGAAAUAAGGAAGGAAAGGCAUAAACAAUGUAUUUGACAUAACCAAGUAGCCCAAAUGCACAUAAGCUUGCAAAAUGAAAGCUCCAAAAGGAAAGGGCAAACAAGGAGACAGGAAAACCAUACAUGAAAAAGUUGAUACUGAAAGUUCGAAAAACAGCUCCUCUGAGUAAAACAUUUGUAUGUCUCACACCAGAUCUUGACUCGAAUGAAAAAUGAAUGCUUAGAGGGAAGCAAUUGCUCAGUCAGUGUACAAUCUGUUAUGGAAAUAAUAAAACUCAUCUCCUCCAAAUCAGAUUUAAUAAAAGACAGCAUUGUAUUGUAAAACAAAAGAGAAAUGCUGGAACAAACUUGAGGCCACUCAGAUCUGACAGAUAUUUUUUAAAGACCAAUUAAAUCUGCCAAACUUGAGGCCAACCCGUGUGCACUAAACUAUAUUCAUUUCCACUUUCACCCCCUCCCUUUUUAAGAGAAUCACAUGGACAAAUAGAAGAUGCACUUGCAUUUCAAAACAGAACAUCACUAGAUUCACAUUUAAAGCACUAAUUUUUAAAUAUUCAAUACUGAAAUGUUUCAAAAUUAGCAGUUUAGGCAUCCAUAUGAGUGAGAGUACUGAAACAUAGCAUGAAUCCAUAAAAGCUAGCCCAAGGAUAUAUACACAUUUAAGAUUUUAUACUAUUAUUAUCAUAAAAUAACUCGCAACAUUUAAGCAAGAAUAUUUCAACCAAGAGGAAAACAUCAACACAACUUCACAAACCAUUGCCACACCGAACUAACCACGACCUUGAGUACGAACCAUGAAUCACGAAUCGAUGAGAAGAAGAUAUAAGACGAAGCACAAAGCAUGAACCACAACCUCAACCACGAACCUCCACCACAAACCAUAACCACAAAGAAUGACGAGAACGAAACACUAACGACGAAAAAAAACACUGAUAAAAAAAAUUAGGGUUCCAAGAUCAUCAAAUAAAUAACAAACACCACAUCACCAAUCGCGGAACAUACCUACGCUUUGCAGACAAGCAGUUCCGUGGUGGAGCGAAGGUUGAAGCAAGUUCCAUGGUGAAGUAGCGGAACCAUUUUCCGUACUGGAAGCACGUUCUGUGGUGGAGCCAUAAAAGCAAAUGUCCAGUGGUGUGCGAUGGAAGAGGUGGGAGUUGGACGAAAAUGAUAGUGAAAAGAAUAGA
rnacentral:lncRNA from 1 species